CCUACGGGCGGCAGCAGUGGGGAAUAUUGGACAAUGGGGGGAACCCUGAUCCAGCCAUGCCGCGUGUGUGAAGAAGGCCCUCGGGUUGUAAAGCACUUUCAGUGAGGAAGAACGCCUGGUGGUUAAUACCCAUCAGGAAAGACAUCACUCACAGAAGAAGCACCGGCUAACUCCGUGCCAGCAGCCGCGGUAAUACGGAGGGUGCGAGCGUUAAUCGGAAUUACUGGGCGUAAAGCGCGCGUAGGUGGCUUGAUAACCCGGUUGUGAAAGCCCCGGGCUCAACCUGGGAACGGCAUCCGGAACUGUCAAGCUAGAGUGCAGGAGAGGAAGGUAGAAUUCCCGGUGUAGCGGUGAAAUGCGUAGAGAUCGGGAGGAAUACCAGUGGCGAAGGCGACCUUCUGGACUGACACUGACACUGAGGUGCGAAAGCGUGGGUAGCAAACAGGAUUAGAUACCCGAGUAGUC
rnacentral:rRNA from 1 species